rnacentral:lncRNA from 1 species
AACCAAUUGGUCAGCCUCAUAAAAGGUGUGAAGCUCUUCUCUGACAGAUUCUCUGAAUAUGUCAUAAUGUCUGGUAACUUCUCCUUCUCCAACAAGGACAUCAACAUCUUCUAUAAGACAUCAACAUCUUCUAUAAGAACUGAAGAAGGCUCUACAGCUAGUCUAGGGAAAUCAGCUUCAAAUUCAUUUACUCGUUCAAAUUCUUCCAGAUGAAGUUCAGACAUUUCUGUUGCAAAC